AAUGCCUAGGAAUCUGCCCGAUAGUGGGGGACAACGUUUCGAAAGGAACGCUAAUACCGCAUACGUCCUACGGGAGAAAGUGGGGGAUCUUCGGACCUCACGCUAUCGGAUGAGCCUAGGUCGGAUUAGCUAGUUGGUGGGGUAAAGGCUCACCAAGGCGACGAUCCGUAACUGGUCUGAGAGGACGAUCAGUCACACUGGAACUGAGACACGGUCCAGACUCCUACGGGAGGCAGCAGUGGGGAAUAUUGGACAAUGGGCGAAAGCCUGAUCCAGCCAUGCCGCGUGUGUGAAGAAGGCCUUUUGGUUGUAAAGCACUUUAAGCGAGGAGGAGGCUACUGGUAUUAAUACUACUGGAUAGUGGACGUUACUCGCAGAAUAAGCACCGGCUAACUCUGUGCCAGCAGCCGCGGUAAUACAGAGGGUGCGAGCGUUAAUCGGAUUUACUGGGCGUAAAGCGUACGUAGGUGGUCUUUUAAGUCGGAUGUGAAAUCCCUGAGCUUAACUUAGGAAUUGCAUUCGAUACUGGGAGACUAGAGUAUGGGAGAGGAUGGUAGAAUUCCAGAUGUAGCGGUGAAAUGCGUAGAGAUCUGGAGG
rnacentral:rRNA from 1 species